GACGAACGCUGGCGGCGUGCUUAACACAUGCAAGUCGAACGGAAAGGCUCCAGCUUGCUGGAGUACUCGAGUGGCGAACGGGUGAGUAACACGUGGGUAAUCUGCCCUGCACUCUGGGAUAAGCCUGGGAAACUGGGUCUAAUACUGGAUAUGACCUUUCUCCUUAUGGGGUUUGGUGGAAAGUUUUUCGGUGUAGGAUGAGCCCGCGGCCUAUCAGCUUGUUGGUGGGGUGAUGGCUUACCAAGGCGACGACGGGUAGCCGGCCUGAGAGGGUGAUCGGCCACAUUGGGACUGAGAUACGGCCCAGACUCCUACGGGAGGCAGCAGUGGGGAAUAUUGCACAAUGGGCGGAAGCCUGAUGCAGCGACGCCGCGUGAGGGAUGACGGCCUUCGGGUUGUAAACCUCUUUCCGCAGGGACGAAGCGUAAGUGACGGUACCUGCAGAAGAAGCACCGGCUAACUAUGUG
rnacentral:rRNA from 1 species